AGUGUCACUGUAUCCCAAAAUUGACCUCCAACUCCCUGAAAUCUCCUGCCUCAGCAUCCCUAGCUUUAAGAUUACAAGCGUGAGACAACACACCCAGCUACUAGAGUAGUGUUUUUAAAGGCUUGUGUUGGAAGAAAGUGGAGUCCUGGGUUCCUUCAACCCGGGAAGUGGCAGGGAAGUAUGGAUGUCAUGAUAAACAGAGUCAGACAUUGGUUGGGAUUCCCACACAUGAAAACUUGCUGUCAAAGAGCUGGGAACGGGUUCAGUGUGCAAGGUGCUGGAUGUGCAAGUAUGAGGGCUUGACUUGGUAUCUCCAAUACCCGUGGGAGCCAGAUAAAAAUGUACAGAUUCUGGGGCCUCUCUGGUCAGCCAAUCUAACUGGAAACAUCUAGCUCCAGAUUCAGUGAGAGACCCUGUCCCACAACGAAAUGGAGAAUUGUAGUAAAGCAAGACACCCAAACUAGAUCUCUGUCCUCCACGCUGUACACCCACUUGAAGGAUCCUGUGCACAUACUCAACAUGAAUCUCAUGCAUGUCACACUAUCGUGUACACGUAUGAAUAAAAUUAUUUUUUCUUGAAGAUUUAUUCAUUUAUUAUGUAUACAGCAUUCUUGGUAUGUAUUUCUGCUCACCACAAAAGGGCACCAGAUCUCAUUACAUGUGGUUGUGAGCCACCAUGUGGUUGUUGGGAUUUGAACUCAGGACCUUUGGAAGAGCAGCCAAUGCUCUUAACCUCUGAGCCAUUUCUCCAACCCUAAAAAUAAUUUUAAUAAGAGAAUCUUUGCUAUAUAAAAUGAACAAUAGUUCAGGUGGAGAAAGAUGUGAGACAGGAAAUGGAAGCUAGACCUCAUUAAAGACAUUGAACUUCACCAGGCAUUGGUGGCACAGGCCUUUGUCCCAUCACUCUGGAGGCAGAAGCAGGCAGGUCUUUGUGAGUUUGAGACCAGCCUGGUAUACAAGAGGUAGUUCCCUGACAGCCUGCAAAGCCACAGAGAAACCCUGCCUGGAAAAAGAAAAAAAAAAAAAAAAGACUUUGUACUUCAUCUUAGAGUUCCAUGGAAUUGAUGUUGGAGCAGGGCCUUCCAUACACACAUCAAAUUUGCAUUUCAAAUGCAGACAGGAUGUAAUUCCUGCUGACAGUAGAAGAAAACUGCAAACCAAAAAAAUAAGACGCUUUUCUCAGAAACCUGGUCACCCUCUUCUUUUUUUCCUCACUUUUGAUCUAGGCCAAAAGGGUCUUCGCUGGACAGUGCAGACCUGCCUGACAUGCCAGCGCAGCCAGCGGUUCCUCAAUGACCCCAAGCAUCUGCUCUGGGGUGACCGACCUGAAGCCCAGCUGGAAAAUCAGAUUUCAAACCAUCAGAACCUC
rnacentral:lncRNA from 1 species